UCUUGGGGAGGACGCCGGGGGCCGGGGGCCGGGGGCCGGGGGCCGGGGGCCUGGGGCGUGGAGGCCCGCCUGCCGUGGUUCCCGUGCCCCCCGCGCCGUCCCCCGACGGGCGCCUUCCGCGUCCAGCUGCCGGAGCCGCCCCCACCGCCGCCCCCGCGGGAGCUUCCUCCGAAAGGCCGCGGCCUAUUCGGGGGUCCUCGUCUCUACAGACGUCCCGCAGGUGUGCCCGUCGUCCCCGGCGGUCAGAGAGCCGUGAACCGAGACUCGAAGCUGCUAGGGCGGGAGACACGGCUCUCAGUGUGUCAUAGGCGUCUUGGAGGAACCGGAUCUUAUUUUUGAGUAAUCUCCACACCCAAGUGGGGCUUGAGCUUAACGGCCGAGGUCGGGCGUCGCCAGCUCUACCCGCGGAGUCCGCCGGCCCCGGGAGACCGUUUCAUGGUACUUGCUUACAGCCCGCCUCGGUUCGCGACCGCGUCUCCAGAGGUCAGCGCCGCCUGCGGCCCCGCCGCCUCAUCCCGGAGCUCACGCAGAGUUGGAGCCUGUCAGUUUAAGCAUGUCAUGUUCACCCAGUCCUUCCUCUGUACAUCUCUUCACACGAUCCUGGUCACUCUAAUUCCCUUUGCUCCUCCCACCACUGACUUGCCGCCCAGCACCUUUCAACUCGGGUAUAAACUGACAGGCUACUUCACGUUUUUUUCUUAGAGAGCUGAGCAAGUGGGACACGCGGGGUGUUGCAGAGGGAGAGAACCUUUACCAGGCUCCAUGCCCAGCACAGAGCCUGACGCAAGGCUCCACCCCAAGACCCUGAGAUCAAGCAUGACCGGAGCCAAAAUCAAGACUUGGAUGCUUAACUGACUGAGCCACACAGGUGCCCCUGUGUUUUUAAGAAAACAUCUUAAAAACUAUAGAUACCUCAUCAGAUCUAAAAGAUGUACCCAAAAUCUAAGAGAUACGUUAUUAUGACAACAGCAGGGGUCUUCAUUUAAUAGAUUUCAUUUAAUAGGUCAGUUGUCUUCUUUGACUUCUAAGGUCAACCUCCUUUCAUUCCCCAUAUUCUAAGUGUGUGUGGCUCCCAAGAAGGCAUCAGAAGAGUGACUUAAAAUUUCAAGUUAGUAAGGAUAGUGGUGCCAAGAUUGGGCACUGGUGGCAUAGAAUUGACACACACUGAAUCUUGGAUUCCUCACUAAACUGUGAUCUUGGGUAAGUUACUGAAGUUCUCAAUUUUUCAUUUAUAAAAUUGAGUCAUUCCCUUCUGAGGUGCAGUGGUGAUCAAUCAAGACAGCAUGUGCAACACACUUAGCAGAGUGCUUCCCCAAAGCAAGUGCAAAGUUUCAAUCAAUGUUAGUCCCUCCACCCUGCUAUUCAGUCUACAUAUCUACACAGAGGCGUUUCUCUGUAAAGGUAACGAGGAGAGACCAGCAUGAGUAAGACAGGCUUUUUUUUUUAUGGUGGAUUUGUUCCUAAGAUGCUUUUCUAUAACCUUAAGAAAAUGAAGUAAAGAUAAAAAGAUCAAGGUGACCCUAGUCUCAUUUCACAUUUUCCAAUGUCUUUCCUUCUCAGCUAUGCUUUUGAAUGAAUCGGAUUCCACUUUUUUCUUAGUUUUUUAGUAAUCUUCUCUUCCACACUCUGGGACAUCAUCUAAUUUAACACUUCAUUCUUUCCUACUAGUCCUUGAAAAAUGAAGGUCCACAAUCGCUUCAUCACCUGUACUAUCUUCAAAUUGCUCCAACAGUUUGCAAGGGCAUAGAGGGAAAGAGAUUAGAAAGCCAAAUACCCAGAAGAACAGAUUUUAUAAAGAAUUUUAUAAAAAAAUUAUACUUUCACCAUAAAUGUCAUCAAGCGUUUAAAACAUUCACCUGUCAUCUGAGGCAAUGAAUUAUGAGAAAAACAUUCAUGGAUUUAAAAACUGCUUUCUUCUGAGUUUACUGUGAUUCUUUUGGGGGAUUAAAAAAAAGAUAAAUAGAAAAUUACAGUUGCCUGAUUACUUGGCUCUAAAGAGAAGCAGAGAGAUAAUGCCCAUGUCCCAGUUUAAAUGAAUUGAGGUAGAGAAGCCAUGACAACAAUCGCUCAGCAAACAUACUGUCACAUUUGGCUUUUGGUUUGUUUGUUUUUUUUCACAUUUGCCUUUUGAAAUGUGAAUACAGAUUCUGGAAUCAGAGACCUGGGGAAGACCUUUAGAGAUCAUUUGAUCUUUCAUAUAGAAAGAAUGACAUUUAAACCAUCCCAAACAACAUAGAAUCUCCCCAGUUUCUGAAGACUAUCAGAGAAGAAAAUGUUAUCCAUGCUAAUCCCUGGAUUUAUUUUCUAUUUGCACACAACUACUGAUUUCAAAUUUUAGCCAAUCUUAGGUGAAACUUUGAAAAAUACUCGAUUUUUCAAAAUAAUUUCCUCUUCAUUGGUCUCAGAGGAGCUUGAGAAGACCUAGCCAACUCUUAUGCAACUUUUAUAAAUGUAAAGUCAUUAAAUUCCCCUUCUGCCUUUUA